GACGAACGCUGGCGGCGUGCUUAACACAUGCAAGUCGAACGGAAAGGCCCUGCUUUUGUGGGGUGCUCGAGUGGCGAACGGGUGAGUAACACGUGAGUAACCUGCCCUUGACUUUGGGAUAACUUCAGGAAACUGGGGCUAAUACCGGAUAGGAGCUCCUGCUGCAUGGUGGGGGUUGGAAAGUUUCGGCGGUUGGGGAUGGACUCGCGGCUUAUCAGCUUGUUGGUGGGGUAGUGGCUUACCAAGGCUUUGACGGGUAGCCGGCCUGAGAGGGUGACCGGCGAAAGUGGGAAUGAGAGAAGGGCGGGACGAAGAAGGGAGGCAGAAGGGGGGAAGAGGGAAGAAGGGGCGGACGAAGGAAGCAGCAACGCCGGGUGAGGGAGGACGGACGGAGGGAUGGAAACAGAGGGCGCAUGUGAAGAAGCGGGAGGGACGGUAAUGGGUAAAGAAGCAACGGAUAAAUACGUG
rnacentral:rRNA from 1 species